AAAAAUACAAUAGAAUUAAAUAAAUGACAAGCAUAAGAAUCCACCUAAAAUAAAAUUCAAUAAAGAAAGAAAGAAAUGUCUUACAGAAAAAUGAAGAGAGUUUUGAUUUAGUUUUUGUGAAUGAUUGGUGGUGUCAUUUGUGAAUGAAAGGAGGUUUAUUUAUAGGCUCUGGAAAUAAUAGUUUAGGAAUUAUGCAAAAAGUGUGAGUGAAUUCUAAAAGCUU
rnacentral:lncRNA from 1 species